rnacentral:rRNA from 1 species
GAGGUUAAGCGAACAAGCGUACACGGUGGAUGCCCUGGCAGUCAGAGGCGAUGAAGGACGUGCUAAUCUGCGAAAAGCGCCGGUAAGGUGAUAUGAACCGUUAUAACCGGCGAUUUCCGAACGGGGGGACCCAAA